CCUACGGGUGGCAGCAGUGAGGAAUAUUGGUCAAUGGGCUUACGCCUGAACCAGCCAAGUCGCGUGAGGGAAGACUGCCCUAUGGGUUGUAAACCUCUUUUGUCGGGGAGCAAAGCGAGUCACGUGUGACUCAUUGAGAGUACCCGAAGAAAAAGCAUCGGCUAACUCCGUGCCAGCAGCCGCGGUAAUACGGAGGAUGCGAGCGUUAUCCGGAUUUAUUGGGUUUAAAGGGUGCGUAGGCGGAAUAUCAAGUCAGCGGUAAAAAUUCGGGGCUCAACCCCGUCGUGCCGUUGAAACUGAUGUUCUUGAGUGGGCGAGAAGUAUGCGGAAUGCGUGGUGUAGCGGUGAAAUGCAUAGAUAUCACGCAGAACUCCGAUUGCGAAGGCAGCAUACCGGCGCCCAACUGACGCUGAAGCACGAAAGCGUGGGUAUCGAACAGGAUUAGAUACCCCUGUAGUC
rnacentral:rRNA from 1 species